AAAUUGCUGGUUCAUUCUCCUGCUCUAAUAAAUAACAGAGCUGCUGCAAUAGAUUGCAGAACCUACCUGGCUGUGUGGAGGGCUCUUGUUUGAUCUUUAAAUACCCUCUAACAUUAAAACCACACUCAGUUGCUUUGAUUUCUCUUACGAGCCAGCUGUAAGGCAUAAAUUCAGACGUUCCCCUAAACGGCAAUAUCCGUGUGCGCGCGCCCCAGUGGAGAAAGCAAGAACACCUAUCCCUUCACCAUCUGUCCCUUUCUUCCAUUUCAUGUGUUCAACCAACAUCCACCCCUCACAGCUUCGACUCUGUUGCCCCCUCUCUCCCCUUGCAGUGUAUUUUCCUGUCAGGUCCACUAGGGUUUGCGUUUGAACCAUGCAGACGGUCCCUUGCCCCGACUGUUCCCCCCUCCCCCACUAGCUGAGCUCCUGUUCCACUCAAAGAUGGCGUCAGCUUUGGAGCGUCUGGUCUCCGGCUGCAUUUUUGGGCUUGUUGUUGUCUCUGAUUCGAAUGAAUUUUGGCACAUUCUACUCGGCAACUCGACACGAAAUUACGAGUGCGUUUCCUGUUGAAGUGCAAUUGGCAUGAUGGUGAUUAGCCCUCGCUGCUCCAUGGGGUGUGAUAUCUGUUCCCUUCCAGGCCUUAGAACAGGUGGAUACCGCUAAGGAGAGAGGAAAGAGAACGACUAGAGAACGACUGGAGCCGCGUGGCUGAAAGACAUUUAAGUCCUCCUGGACUUCCCAAACACUACAACUGAUCUUCAACUCAAGAUGAUGGUCACAGUUUCAACCUCACAUUGAGAGCCUGUUAUUUACAUUGAUUGGAGACUGAAUCAACAGGUUUCUAUCUGUUUCUCCCUCUGUCCUUUUGAAACAGGCAGUAGUUGGCGAUACCUAAGUGUUAUUGUGAAAGCCGCCGUAGUGUGCGAGUCAGUCCUCCACAGCUCCAGAGUUAGUGUAGUAUCUGGUGCUCCACGACACUGCUCUCCCUCAGGCUAACUGACCCUACCGGGAGAGGUUAGUGGGUGACCAGGUUUUAUUUUUUUG
ensembl:lncRNA